rnacentral:rRNA from 1 species
UACGAAGGGGGCUAGCGUUGCUCGGAAUCACUGGGCGUAAAGCGCACGUAGGCGGGUUCUUAAGUCAGGGGUGAAAUCCUGGAGCUCAACUCCAGAACUGCCUUUGAUACUGGGAAUCUCGAGUCCGGGAGAGGUGAGUGGAACUGCGAGUGUAGAGGUGAAAUUCGUAGAUACUCGCAAGAACACCAGUGGCGAAGGCGGCUCACUGGCCCGGUACUGACGCUGAGGUGCGAAAGCGUGGGGAGCAAACAGG